CAGCACUUCAUAAUUAGAAUGCAAUUAUAAAAAAAAUAAGUAAAUGUGAAAAUAAAAUGGAGGACAGAUUUGUGGGGCCCUCCCUUGUCAUUUUUCGUCUAGCUUGUUGUUUUUUCCGCCAAAUUCAUUCAUAGCAGGAGUUUUAUUUUUCUUCCUACCAAUUCACUGCAUUAUUAUUUCCAAAAUUUUAUUCUUUUUCCCACUGAAUAAAAUAAUGUAAUUGAAUUUAAUUUCCCAUUGAAUUCCUUCCAAUUCAUUACUUUGAGUUUUGUAAAUUAGUUUUUUUAAUGAAAUUCAGAUAUUCGUUAUUUGGGUUUUUGAUUUGUUGUGUUGGUAAUUUAUUGUUCCAGAUUUGGAAGGCAAAAUUGUUGAAUUACUUCUGCCAUAACUGAAAUUGUAUGAAGAUGCAUUUUGUCGAUGGAUGGAGCGAUGUUGGUGGUAGUCCGAGUGCACAGAUCAGUGUUUUUUAAAAAUUUUGCAACUCUAAUUUGUUACGGUUAAUGAUUCAUGAAUGCGCCUAUUGGUUUUGUAAGUAGUCAAAUUAUUUGUGGAAUUAUUAAUAGUAAUAUUAGCAUUAAUUAGUAUUGUUGUUGUAUAGCAACUUGUAUGCUUUGUAUUGUAGAAUUUUGUAGUUUUAAUUUGUGGGUUUAGAGAUGUAGUUAUUUCUUGUUGCAUGCUUUCUAUUGUAGUAUGAAAUUGGGGAUAUAGUAUAUGCUAUGCACGUUAUAAGUAUGGAGGUUGUUCUCAAUUUUGACCUAGAAUGUGAUUUUAUUGUGAGCAUGUAAUACCAAUUAAUGAUUAGUUGGUAUUUGAUAUUAAUACCAACUGUCAACUAAAUGGUACUAUUUUGAUAGUGUGUUAUGAUUUUCAUUGAAUGAGUUAUUAAUGGUCGUGUGAAAGUUAAAUUGUUUACACAUGGUCUAUGUGAAGUUAAAUUGUUGUUGUUGAUAUUGUGAGUUAAUAUGUUUAAGAAUGUUGGGGUUUAGAACUUAGUAUAAGAGUGGCGUGAGUUAACAAUUUAUAUUUGUCCAUGACAAUUAUGUUGAUGUUGAGGCAACGACCAUGGAUCGAGACCAAGAGCAAUACGAUAGUUCAUGUUCUAGUUUAGAUGAGGAAAGUUUGGGAGAAAUUGAUGUAUCCGAUCAUCUAGGGGGUGAUGGUAUUGACUUAAAUCAAGCUGCAGAGGGAGGUGAUGAAGGAGUGUUUCUGACAACGUUGAGGAAUGUAGGAUCAUCUGGGGCAAAUGAUGGCCCGUUGGUGCCUCGUCAAUAAAUCGGUAUGGUAUUUGAAAGUUGGGAGGAGUUAAACAAGUAUUACUGUAAUUAUGGUAAGCAACAAGGAUUUGGGGUUGUUUGUAUUGGUAGUGGAAAGGCGGUGAAAAAAAAUUAGGUAAGUCAAAAUCAAUGGGUACUUAUGUGUGGAAGUAUUGUUAUGGAAGGACAACGUAUAGAAGGAAGGUGAAUGAGAAGAGAACUGUUGUGUAUGAUGAGCCGAUUGUGAAAUAGAAAUCCACUCAUUUCUUUUUUAUUUUGCUCAAUUGAAUUUCUGUUUGCUCAUUUUUCUUUUGUUUUGCUCAUUUUUUUGUUAGGGAAACAAAACGUGAAUAUUAAUUAUGAUAUUCUUACAUUUCUUUCUGAUGUUGAUAAAAUCAAGGACUUGAAUUGGUCAAAGUAUAUCCUUGAGUGUCUUGUGAAGGGCAAGCUUUUCUGGGAAGAACGUUCAACUCGUUCUUUUCCUCGGUCUUUAUUGUUUCUUAUGUUAUUGUAUGUUGAUCAAUUUGUACUUGAGGAAGUUCGAGCUGCACGUGAAAUUCCAAUCUUGAAAGGGUGGACAACAACUAUGUUGUCAACACGUGAGAAAUUGGAGAUCUUUAAAGGGAGGCGUGGAAAUAUUCGUGUCAAAAAGCUUGAUGCUGGUUUUUCUAGCAUGACACAGCCUAAAAUGGUAUUUAACUAUAAUUUUUUAUUUUAUUCUUUUCCUUUUUAUUCUACAUUUUUAACUUUUUUGUUUUUUAUUUAAGAAAAAUUCAUUCCUUCUGAAGUGGAAACUCAAGUAGGUGCCAAUAAGGAACAAUCUGAUCCAAUUCGUAGAGAAAAAUGAAGAAAUUGAACAAGAUCCGAAGAAGAAAUGCCUUAUGGAGCUUGCAACAACAUCUACAAAUCUAGUCUUAGCAUACAUGGAUUUCAGUCAAAAAUAUGAAGUUGCCGUCAAGUAUUUUCCAAACAAUGAGAAGAUUCAAAAGCUGAAGGAAGAUACAAUGAGCAUUUGUGAUGAGCACAAGAUGAGCUCUAAAGCUUUGACUGAAGAUAUUCCUCUCUCAUUUAGCCAAGAUAAACAUUAUUGGCAAGAUCCAGCUGUAAUUGACGCUUGGGAUAGGUUUUCAAAGAUUUCAGGCAAUGACAAGCAUGCUGAAUCUACAAUCAAUGCUAGGGUUGAUCAUCUAAAUGAAUCACAACCAAUUGUUGUUAUUACUAAGAUCGUUGCUGAAUGUGUUCACAUAGCAAGUGGUAUAUUUGAUGUUGAAACUCCAUCCGUUAUCAUACAGCCUAGGGCUGCUGAACAUGUGUUUCCAAAAACUUGGAGAGUCAAGUAUCAGAUAUAGUUUAAGAAGUUCAGUUGCCUAAGGAUGUGGAACUCCUUCAUUCAGCUUAGGUAUCUCUUCUCAAGAAACUGAUUCUCAGAAUAAGUCCCCUAGCAUUGCACCUACUGAUGAACUUGUAGUUGCUCCUGUCAGUGCACAAGUUGGUGCUUCUAAAUCAGUUGUUGCUGCUGUUGCUGAUGCUCUGAAUGCUCAAGAAGAUCCAAUUGUGCUUAAGAGAAAAGGAGAUGCUGAAAUGAGAGUUCUAUUCCAAAGAAGAAGCGUAAAGUGCAACCAUCGCUGCAAAUAAGAUCUCCUUUUAAGUCUCGGAUUAUCAACAUUUAUACACCAUUAACAGCAGUUCAGAAAGGUGUUAUGCUCAUUUUUUCAUGAGAACAAAAAUCGUUUGUAAGUAUUUAUUCAGUUUUUCAGUUUUGGAAAUUGGCAAUUGACCUUAUUUUUCUUUCUUAAAACAAGUCUAGCUCUAUAUUCUCACUUUACUUAUCUUCGAUUGAAAUUAUUUUAACUUCCCUAAAUCUUAUAUGUAGUAAUCCAGGGUUUUUAUGCGAGGGUAGGGGUGGCAAACGGAUCAGGUCAGGUCGGGUUCGUGUUCGGGUUUUCGGGUUUCGUGUCAGCUAAAUCCUAACCUGAACCUGAUCCAUUUAAGUUUUCGGGUUGAAAACCCCAACCUGAACCUGAUAUUUUCAGGUUCGGGUCAACCUGAAAACGACCUGAUUUGACCUGAUUUUUUUAUUUUAUUUUUUUAAAUUUUCUUUUUGACUUUAAUAACCUGAUUUUUCAGCCUGAUUUUGUACCAAUUAACAGAAUGUAUUUUAUACCAAGAACUUGUUUUUUUUUCAGCCUGAUUUUGUA